CCUACGGGGGGCAGCAGUGGGGGAUAUUGCACAAUGGGGGGAACCCUGAUGCAGCGACGCCGCGUGGGUGAAGAAGCGCCUCGGCGCGUAAAGCCCUUUCAGCAGGGAAGAAAAUGACGGUACCUGAAGAAGAAGCCCCGGCUGACUACGUGCCAGCAGCCGCGGUAGUACGGAGGGGGCAAGCGGUAUCCGGGUUUACUGGGUGUAAAGGGGGCGCAGACGGCGAUGCAAGCCAGGAGUGAAAGCCCGGGGCCCAACCCCGGGACUGCUCUUGGAAGUGCGUGGCUGGAGUGCGGGAGGGGCAGGCGGAAUGCCUGGUGUAGCGGUGAAAUGCGUAGAUAUCAGGAGGAACACCGGUGGCGAAGGCGGCAUGCUGGACUGCAACUGACGUUGAGGCCCGAAAGCGUGGGGAGCGAACAGGAUUAGAUACCCCUGUAGUC
rnacentral:rRNA from 1 species